rnacentral:rRNA from 1 species
UGUUUACCAAAAACACAGCUCUAUGCUAAGUCGCAAGACGAUGUAUAUGGGGUGACGCCUGCCCGGUGCCGGAAGGUUAAAAGGAGAGGUUAGGAGCAAUCCGAAGCUUUGAAUUGAAGCCCCGGUGAACGGCGGCCGUAACUAUAACGGUCCUAAGGUAGCGAAAUUCCUUGUCAGGUAAGUUCUGACGUGCACGAAUGGUGUAAUAAUUUGGGCGCUGUCUCGACAGCAGACUCGGUGAAAUCUUAAUACCGGUGAAGAUGCCGGUUACCCGCGACUAGACGGAAAGACCCCAUGGAGCUUUACUAUAACUUAAUAUUGAGUAAAUGCGAAUCUUGUACAGUAUAGGUGGGAGACUUUGAAGUCGGGGCGUCAGCUUCGAUGGAGUCGCCGUUGGGAUACCACUCUGGAUUUGCAUUUAUUCUAACUCCUACCCUGGAUGGGCGGGAGGACAGUGUUAGGCGGGUAGUUUGGCUGGGGCGGCCGCCUCCCAAAUAGUAACGGAGGCGCCCUAAGGUACCCUCAGUAUGGUCGGAAAUCAUACGUAGAGCGCAAAUGCAUAAGGGUGCUUGACUGCAAGACCGACAAGUCGAGCAGGUACGAAAGUAGGGAUUAGUGACCAGGCGGUUUCAUUGUGGAAUGGCCGUCGCUUAACGGAUAAAAGCUACCCUGGGGAUAACAGGCUGAUCGCGUCCAAGAGUUCACUUCGACGACGCGGUUUGGCACCUCGAUGUCGGCUCAUCACAUCCUGGAGGGGCAGCACCUUCCAAGGGUUAGGCUGUUCGCCUAUUAAAGUGGUACGCGAGCUGGGUUCAAAACGUCGUGAGACAGUUUGGUCCCUAUCUGUCGUGGGCGUAGGAAGUUUGAAAGGAUCCGUCCCUAGUACGCAAGGACCAGGAUGGACAUAGCUACGGUACACCGGUUGUAACGCCAGUUGCACGGCCGGGUAGCCGCCUAUGGAUCGGAUAAACGCUGAAAGCAUCUAAGCGCGAAACCGUCCUUAAGAUGAGACUUCCCUUUCGCAAGAAAUAAGAUCCGCGGUAAGUUACCGCGUUGAUAGGUCGCAGAUGUAAGCAUAGCGAUAUGUUCAGUCGAGCGAUACUAAUAGAUCGACCACUUAUUUUC